rnacentral:rRNA from 1 species
AGGGUUUGAUCAUGGCUCAGGAUGAACGCUAGCGGCGUGCCUAAUGCAUGCAAGUCGAACGGGAUCCUUUGGAAUUAUUCUAAAGGUGAGAGUGGCGAACGGGUGAGUAACACGUUGGUGACCUGCCCCAGAGAGGGGGAUAACCAUUGGAAACGAUGGCUAAUACCCCAAAUGUCAUUACUGUUAGAGGGUAAUGACCAAAGCUCCGGCGCUCUGGGAGGGGCCUGCGGCCCAUCAGCUAGUUGGCAGGGUAAUGGCCUACCAAGGCGAAGACGGGUAGGGGACGUGAGAGCGUGGCCCCCCACACUGGUACUGAAACACGGACCAGAUACCUACGGGUAGCAGCAGCAAGGAAUAUUGCCCAAUGGACGAAAGUCUGAGGCAGCAACGCCGCGUGGAGGAUGAAGGCCUUCGGGUUGUAAACUCCUUUUCUGGGGGAAGAGAAAGGACGGUACCCCAGGAAUAAGUCUCGGCUAACUACGUGCCAGCAGCCGCGGUAAAACGUAGGAGGCGAGCGUUAUCCGGAUUUACUGGGCGUAAAGCGCGUGCAGGCGGUUUUCUAAGUCGGACGUGAAAGCUCCCGGCUCAACUGGGAGAGGUCGUUCGAAACUAGGAGACUUGAGGAUGGUAGAGGAGAGUGGAAUUCCCGGUGUAGUGGUGAAAUGCGUAGAUAUCGGGAGGAACACCAGUGGCGAAGCGGCUCUCUGGGCCAUUCCUGACGCUAAGACGCGAAAGCUAGGGAGAAAACGGGAUUAGAAACCCCGGUAUUCCUAGCCGUAAACGAUGUCAACUAGUGUUAGGGGGUAUCCAACCCCCCUGUGCUGCAGCAACGCGAUAGUGACGCUGUACUACGCGCAGCUAAACCUCAAAGAUUGACGGGACCCGCACAAGCAGCGGAGCGUGGUGGUUAAUUCC